ensembl:lncRNA
CAAGAUUUCACAGUGGACUUCAGACCUCAGCAGCUGCUCCUUCACUUUACUGUCUGUUCUUUCAUACACAGAUUAACAAGAUGUUCAUUCAUCAGUGAAGACUUUUGAGACAGGAUGGCUGUAGACAGUAGGCCAAGCCAUAUGAUGAGGUUACUGGAUCAGCAAUGGACUCAUUCCAGCAUGUUUUGAAGAUAAUAAGCUAUUCUAAACUAUUUAAAUCCUGUCCACUUGACUGCUCUCCUCAGACAGAUGUUAAAGUGAGAUGAGGACAAAGCUCCUACAGUUAGCAAACAUUUUCUGAUGUCACUCACCAUGCUGGAGGUGUGACAGACCUUUCAGUGCACACGCACAGGAGAAAGUGAAGUCAUUUUGAUGUUAUCAUCCGGUGCUGCCCUCUCCGAGUUGAACCAAGUGAAGUAGAGGACACACACUCACCUGCACUGUCUCACUUUACUGCACACAUUUUUGCAUCAAAUUCACGAGGAGGCGGUAAGUAGUUUGGUGUGCCUGAAGGGCGUUGAAAGGCAGACACACACAUAUGCAUUGAAGUCCACAGGGGUAAACCACAUUUGAUGAAUGAAUUGGCAACACACUCUUGUUUGUUCCCCUCUGGCGUCGCUCGUCAGAAUGUCAUGACUCAGUACAGGCAGAAACAGAAAGGUGUUUGCCGUGACUUUGUAAUGCUGCCACCAUCUCACAGGUCGUUGCCGAGCCACAGGAGGGCUUCCCCUUGGAGAAGGCCACACGUACCUGAUUUCUUCCUUUGGUACAGGAAGCCCAGUGUGGACUACACUAUCUUUACACUAUUUGCAAUCUGACCAGGAUUUCAUCUUGACCGGUCAUGUUGACCCUGGAUUACAUGUCUGGAGACAGCCUCUAAUUCCUCAUUUCUGAGAUCUGACCACCACAUGACAGGAAGGUCUGAGUCAUCCAGCAAUUUCAUUUUUAGGUCUUAAACUUAUUAUUAUUAUUAUUAUUUUACCAGGAAGUUGUAGCACUUAUUUAAGUGAUAAGAAAUUAAGAGUAAAGCUUUAAUGAUACCAAUCAUUGAGUUAUAAAUUGGUGUUAAGAGACCUAACAGUUCUACAUUUUUUAUGAACAGGGCUGCACCUCAUGGCUGGAAAAAGCAUCUUUCUACAUUGAUGGCCAUUAGAGAGUUUGUGUAUUUUAGCAUAAUUAAAGUGGCUCGCAGGCAACAUAGAAAUGACAGAAAUUUCAGAAAUGUCACAUGCUUAUGCUUUAAGUGCCCAGAAUUAUCUGGAGAUGAACACUCAUGAACACAGAUGGCAGAAUACCUGCGGCAGCUGAGCAACUGCCUUUGAAAUGAAUGGCAAAGCUAACAGACAGCACUCUCCUGGAAUUAUAGACCUUCUUGUGCUUCCCUUGCAAACAUUGGACAGUGUUAUUCCCUACCACACUUUUACUAGAUACAAAUGAAUAUUUCAACUGCUUUUUCAUCUCUCUAACUCCUGAGUUGUUAUUUUUAAAAAUGAGGAAAAAACUUUGAUAUUUUGCUCCCUCUGGUUCUUUUUUCUUUUCCUCGCUCUGAUCCUCUCCAAGGCCACCUGAAGCUUCCAACUCCCAGUUUGUUCUUUGGGGUUCUUGGAUCCUUUACAGUCCCCCCACCCCCCAUUCUCAAUCGCUCUGAGCACACAAACUCUACAAGGACAAAACAAGGCAAACAUGGCAGAUCUGAAGGAAAGUGUGUUGGAAUGUUCUCUGGUCCUAUUGAAGUGGUUGGUUUGUUAUUUCCACCAGCUGUCAACUGUCCAAAGCCGAGCAUGUUCGACACGCAUUUCCCCGUUUAUCUUCAGCACAACUUCCCAUGAGACUGCAGCUCCACCGUAACAAAGCAACAUCACUACAUCAAACUCAGCCAGACUUUGUGCGGCCAUCAAGUACUUGUGUUUUUCCACCUGUGAUUUGGAAUGACAAAACUCACAAAAACAGUAUUCCCAAAGAAAACUCUAAAAUUCCUUAAACUGCACCACAUAGGUGUCCAGAGUUUGUGUUACACUAAGUGGUAAUUUUUACUGAUGUGUUCCAAAACAAGAAACAUUAAACUUUUUAAAUUAUACAAUUGGCAUAGAAGCAGAAUUCAGAGAGAGCUGAAGAUAUUUUCAUUCUCCUGCAUAGUAUACCAUUUUCUCCACGGAUGUUCAGCAGAUUGGAAUCAUGUUAAAAAGGAUGUGAAAAUAUCUGUCAGAGGAGCGUUGACAAUGUGCUAGAAAUUUUCCCGUGACUUAAUUGAACUGCAGUGUAGUGUGAUGUUUGCUGAGAGGUGAGAAAGAGUAAAAGACAAAGAUUUAAAUGGAGUGACUGACAUUUUGGAAAUAUUUAUUCAGUAUAAAGUAGAGAUAAUUUUUUAAAAUUUAUAAUAAUAAUUAUAAUUUUUUUCACUAUUACAUGUUUUAUUUGAUUUUGAAUUAUGUGAAUGUGUAAUUCUUCGAGCAACAGUAAUUCUGUACCUUUUUCCAUGGUGACUUUCAAAACUAAAAUGUCAAAAUAUCUUCAUAUUUCUAAAGGAAUGGAAGAGGUACACCUCAUUAGGUAUACAAUAAUCUCACUAAUUAAAAUGUGACUAUUUAUUACAAUGUUAAAUUAUUCCCUUGCAAACAUAAUUAAAAUAGGCAUAUCAGACUAUUAUGGAUAUCAGUAAUUACAGUACCUUAAUAAAGUAAGUUAAUUGAGUAUUCAUUUUCAUUUCAUUUCGUUAUAGUAUUUAUAGUAUUCAUUUCAACCUGCCACAGGAGCUGCUGAAACAGUUCUACUCCACCAUCAUUGAAUCUGUCCUCUGCACUACCAAAUCUGACCUCAGAAGACUAUGACUAGACACAGGAACAGUUUCUUCCUCCAGGCAAUCCAUCUAAUGAACACUUGUCUAUAACUGUGGAACACACAACACUAUUUAUACACCAUUUUUAUUUAUACAUAUGUGUAAUCAUACCUGGCAAUAAAGCUCAUUCUGAUUCUGAUUCUAUAGUUGGUCGAUUCUUCAGAUGACAAAUAUACUGUUGACACAUAGUUUUACUCCUUCCAUAACUACACAUUUUUACUUUGUAAUAUACAUGAAUACUUAAUUUCUUGUCAAGCUAAACCUGGUUUUAACUUAGCCUUUGACUAAAUAGGCAAAAAAGAGAAUUGCAUCUUGAAGGAAAUAAGAACCUUAUCAACCUUCUUCUCAGAAUUAGUGUUACUAUGUCAUGUGUUACGUGUAAAUUGGUAUUGACGGUGAAAUUU